CACCAUGGCAUACCGUGGCCAGGGCCAGAAAGUACAGAAGGUUAUGGUGCAGCCCAUCAACCUCAUCUUCAGAAGCUUACAAAAUAGAUCGCAGAUUCAGGUGUGGCUCUAUGAGCAAGUGAAUAUGUGGAUAGAAGGCUGUAUCAUUGGUUUUGAUGAGUAUAUGAACCUUGUAUUAGAUGAUGCAGAAGAGAUUCAUUCUAAAACAAAGUCAAGAAAACAACUGGGUCGGAUCAUGCUGAAAGGAGAUAAUAUUACUCUGCUACAAAGUGUCUCCAACUAGAAAUGAUCAAUGAAGUAAGAAAUUGUUGAGAAGAAUACAGUUUGUUUUUAGAUGUCCUUUGUCUAAUAUGAACAUUUAUUCAUAUUGUUUUGAUUACCCUUGUGUUAUACAAGAUGGCAAUAAAUGCUGUGGGAUUGUUUGUGUUAAAAAAA